GUGCUCUCCGCCGAGCCUUGUAGGGUAACGCGGGACACAAACUCCUCCUCCUCCUGCUUCUGCACCUCACCAGAACUCAUUAGCUUGGGCGCUAAUUAGUUACCGUGGCUUAAAUUUCCUUUUCUGAUCUUAAGGGUUCAUGUGGGAGUACAAGGUUUUCAUUUUAGUUAUUUUUCACUGAGCUCAGCAGUUGGCAGGCCGACAGCAGUAAAAAUACAUUUCACAUCGCCGGUCAGCGGCCUGGAGCCAGCGGCAGGAAAUCUGGAAUUAAAUGUUUCGUGUAUCGGGGAGGCGGCAUGACUAAGACAUCUCCAGGUAGAGUCCAUUCAGCAGCACAGCCUUCUGCAAACAUGCCAAGGCACUUCUUUUAUGUUGGCUCAAAGAAAAAAUGCUACUUCAUGACUUGCCAAGGACAACUCUUUAGCACAGAUAUGUCCCAGAUUACUUCGUAAACAAAGCAAAAAUAAUUUCUUUCAUCCAACUGCGGCAGGAACUGAACAACUUAAUCUGAUCAUUGUGUGCAAAGAAAAUAUUUCCAAUGACGACAUCUUCCUAUGUCAAUUGUUUUUUUAUUACAGAUGUCAUCUCAGUGUGCCACAUUAAUGCAGCUCUUUCUUCUCAUUUCAAGAUUUUAAUCUAAGUUUGUUGCUCUAAUAUUUUAUUGGUUCAAAAUACAUGCUGUAAAAUCCGUGGCCAUCAAAUUUUCCUGUGAGCUAAAAAUAAACUGCUCUUGUCAGAUAUGGU